CGUCUGCGAUGACAUCACUCCGCCGCAACAUCAGUGGCGAUCUAUGCUCCUUUUCGACGUGCAUCGAAAGCGAUAACCGUACAAUCAGUCGGAUCCCUUAUCGUGUGUGUGUAGAAUUGUCCGUUUUUGGAGGAUUUUUUUAUUCCUUGAGCCAACACUGGUGAUUGCAAAUGAAUUUUGAGCAGCCACCUCCAUACCCUGGGCCAGGCCCCACUGCGCCCGGGUAUCCUCCUCAGGGAUACCCUCCUCAGGGAUACCCUCCUCAGGGAUACCCUCCACAGGGAUACCCUGUCAAUAUGGAUCAGCCCAACCCAGGCUUCCCUCCUCACAACCCAGCGUACCCUAACUACCCUGCCGGACCUGGUGGACCUGGUGGGCCUUACCCAGGGCCUGAUCAAGCAGCCUUUCAAGGAUAUCCGCAACAACCUCAUGGAUGGCAAAAUGCUCCCCAAGCUGGUCCAAUGUAUGGGGAAGGGCCUAAAAACACAGUGUAUGUGGUGGAGGACAGAAGGCGUGAGGACUCAGGGGACACUUGUCUGACUGCAUGCUGGACUGCGCUGUGCUGCUGUUGUCUAUGGGAUAUGCUAACAUAAAGCUAACAUAAAGCUUUGAGUACUCAGACUGUACUAUGCCCUCCUGCACUGCACUCCCCAACAUGAGGUUCCACCAUGAUUGACCUGAGGUGCCCAAAACCCUCCUUCUUCUCCUGUCAUAGCUUCUUAUUCCCCAGACGUCUGAUGUCCAUGUCUUAUAGAUACAGCCAACCCACAUUCUUUCUAAAUACACACCUGUCUGUGGUUUUGCUGACUAUAAAAGCAAUAUAAAUCUUAUCUGGAUAUAACUUCAAAUUAUUAUUGAAAGCAGCAUUCUCAAAAUAUCUGGUGUGUGUGAAACUGAUUUUUUUUUUAGAUCUCAGGCAACCAUGUUGUAAGACAUGAAUUUAAAUCUUAAAUUUACCAUGAGCUUUGAUAUAGACUGCAGAUUUUAUGAUGGCAAAUAAAUGUACUGUAUCAUUUCUGCAUCUGAUCCAUGGAUAACAUGUUCUGACUUGACCAGUGCUUGACCAGUGAGUGACGAGAUGAUUAGAUCUGAUCCUCCAAUUCUAUCAGCAUGAUGCAGCAUCCAUACCUCACCAUCCACUCUCUACCUCUUACUCUGCCUUAUUUUCAUCUUCACCUCGGAGUUUUGAAGGCAUCCAUCCCAAUGCGCCCACAUACCCAUUCCUGUUUCCACAAACCCCCUAAUGCUUUACCUUUAGUCCUACACACAUCAUACUUCAGACAGUAGAGCUGAGAGGCUGUCAGGCAGACAGCAGACAGCAGACAGCUGCUGAGGCCAACAUGUAUCUGGGCAACACCAUUUCAUCUCAUUCCCAGUCUACCAUGACAACCUUUCAGUCCAUUAUUUGAAUGAAUACUCUGUCAGUUUAAGCACACAUUUGCACGAUAAAUUAUUGUGUUACCAUGAAAGGCCGCUAUCUCCCCAGUCAACCGUAUUAAAUAACUGCAUAAGGUGAUGUAACCCCCACCUUCCUGGACCACAGUAGAGAAAAUGAGUGAAAUUUGGCAAUUAGGUAUGAAAUUAUUACAUUAUUCUGUACAGAGCACCUUGUCAUUGUAAAGCUUUUCACCAAAGCCCAUAAACAGUAGAAGUCUGCAUGAUUACCAUAGCUACAAUAUUAACAAUGAGAGGCUUUGAUAGUUCAUCAUUCCCAAUGAGGCAGAGCGACUGGAAAGCAGAAAGAGAAAUUGUGAAACACAUUAUUCAGGGGUUGCACAUUUUGACGCUUAAAUAUUUUAAAAACAUUUUUGCUUAAAAUCUUUAGGCGAUGCUGUAUACUGUUAAAUUACUUAUUUUGUCUUGAAUUUCUAUUUGAAAUUAUUUGCAUUUUGAUAAUUAGAAAUAUAUGUGGUCUUGUUGUUCUCUAAUGACUACUUGCAUUAUUGUUGUUUUUAAAUAGCAAAAGAUUAAGUACACAUUCAAUAUUGCCUUGGCUUAAAAGAAAAUAAAUUAUUCAAAAAUUA